rnacentral:rRNA from 1 species
GAUGAACGCUGGCGGUAUGCUUAACACAUGCAAGUCGAACGCAGACUUUCGGAUCUGAGUGGCGGACGGGUGGGUAACGCGUGAGAAUCUGGCUUCAGGUUGGGUACAACCACGGGAAACGUUGGCUAAUACCCAAUGUGCCGUUACGGUGAAAGAUUAAUUGCCUGAAGAUGAGCUCGCGUCUGAUUAGCUAGUUGGUGGUGUAAGAGCUCACCAAGGCGACGAUCAGUAGCUGGUCUGAGAGGACGAUCAGCCACACUGGGACUGAGACACGGCCCAGACGCCUACGGGAGGAAGCAGUGGGGAAUUGUCCGAAAUGGGCGAAGGCCUGACGGAGCAAUACCGCGUGAGGGAGGAAGGCUCUUGGGUUGUAAAACUCUUGUCUCAGGGAAGAAGGCAAUGACGGUACCUGAGGAAUCAGCAUCGGCUAACUCCGUG